AUGAAGGCCCCGGCGCUGGAGGUGCUGCCGGCUGAGAAGCCCGUGCGCGAUGAUGAUAAGCGCGAGGGCGUCGCCAACUUGGACACCAUGCUGGCCUUCCCUGAGGACGACGAGCACGACAAGGUAGCGGCGGAGGACGACGCCAAGGCCAGCGCGCAGGACAAGGUGAGCUGCUAUUCAGUUGGGACAGGGAAGACCACCUUCAUGCACCGUCUGGUGUGUCAUAUGCAAGCAUCGGCGAAUAUGAGGCAUUAUGUGCUCAACCUUGACCCUGCGGUGGUGACACUGCCAUUUGGAGCCAACAUUGAUAUCCGUGAUACUGUGCGUUACAAGGAGGCUAUAAAAUUCAAGGCAGUACAAACGUACAACCACUCGGUAAACUGGGUUGUUCCAUUUUUGCGGGUUAUAUCUGUUAUUGAAAAGCUAGCAGACCAACUAGAUUAUGUGCUGAUGGACACCCCAGGGUAG
rnacentral:rRNA from 1 species